GCCUUCGUGGUGUAAUGGUCAGCACACCGAGCCGGUAUUUCAGAGGUCCGCGGUUCGAUCCCCGGCGAAGGAA
rnacentral:tRNA from 1 species